GCCCCGGUAGCUCAGUGGAUAGAGCGUCUGCCUCCGGAGCAGGAAGUCGCAGGUUCGAAUCCUGUCCGGGGCACCG
rnacentral:tRNA from 1 species